CGUUGAGAAGUUCGUUGUGCAAAUCAAUGUAUCUUGAAAAUUAAAUCUUACUUAUACAAUCACGGUUUUCAUAUAUUAAGAAGUAAAAAAUUAUUUUUGAAAUGUAUUUUUUUGGUAUGAGAAUCGAAAUAUUUUAUAAUAAAUAUAGACUAAAGUACUGUAAAGGAAAGAUGAAAUAAUUUGAAAAAUGUAUUAAUAAAAAGUAAAGUUAAAUUCUUGUACCUUGUGUAUUAGGGAAAAUCAAAAUAAUCUUAUUAUUUAAAGAAAUCCCGAAAGAAAAAGAGCUAUUAUAAAUAUAUAGUUUUCGUAUUAAUGAAAUUAUCAAAUUUAUACUAGUAGUGAAAUGCUAAUCGUUUUUUCAUAUCUGGUUAUUGGUGAAUUAAAUUUAAUUUGAUUAUAUUGAGGUAAUCAAAAGCUUUAAUAUAAUAAAGAAUAGGAGGGAAAAGCUUCUUGUUCUAACAUAGGUGUGUUAUGAUAUAAUGAAUAAUUAUUUUAUUGAAUUAGGCUUAAAAACAGCCACAUU
rnacentral:rRNA from 1 species